CAGUGAAGCUGGUAAUAUUUGACCGAUGAGCUUCACCCGGCUUUAUUGAAAGCUGACUGCUAUAGACUGAUCGAAUAUUUUAUCCCAUCUAUUCGGCGCCUUUAGCUUCUCCAAAAAAAGUUUCUCCCUUAAUUCGUGAAGAGCAAAAGGGCACACGCCUUCGCGCACGCAUACACACCAUUCUACGCGCGAUACUGCGAGGUGCAGGCUGCAGGGCAUGGUUGGCGUAGGGGAGAUGCUGGCCUCGGCCAUCGUGAAGGCGGCCGUGAGCAAGCUGCUCUCGCUGGCCUUGUAUACCGUCCAAGGUCCGGUCAAGAGGACCCUUAGCUUCAAGGAGGACCUCAAGGAGAUGCAGGUGACGCUCAUGUUCUUGGAGGCGGGUAUCGCGGACGCAGAGAAGCGGUCCGUCAACGACCAGGUCGCUCGACUGUGGCUGAAACAGCUCAAGCAGGCAGCCUACGAGAUCUCCGACAUGUUUGAUGAGUUCCAACCAGGCAAGCUGCAGGCCCCUCCUACGCGGUACGAGCAGGUAUUGUUGAGUGGUGACAUGGCCAAGAAAAUGAAGAAAAUGAAUAAAAAGUUGAAAAACAUAAGUGAGCAGCGCAAAAGUUAUGGGACUGAGGGGCGGAUAUCUGAGUCCGAGCAAGAUAAGAUAAGUAUGAGAAAAGAAACAACUUCAAGAAUGGGAUCAAACGUGAUUGUCGGCCGAAGAGUUGAGAAACAAUCUGUCAUUAAUAUACUGCUCAGCUCUAAUAACAAAGCUUCUGCAACUAGUACAGUUAGUUGCCCUCAAGAAAGUAGUAACUAUACUGUUAUUUACGGGCUUGCUGGUGUUGGUAAGACGGAACUAGCGAAACUGGUGUUCAACGACGAAAGAAUCCAGGAGGCCUUUCCUCAGAGGGCAUGGGUUUACUUACACCAAAAUUCUGGCAUAAAUGACAUUGGCAGAGCUAUAAUAGGUGAACUUGAAGGUGGAGUUUGUAAGCUUGAGAACCAGGAAUCUAUGCACCAACAUCUUAAGAAGGUGCUCAGCGGUAGAUGCCUCAUUGUGUUGGACAAUCUUUGGUAUUCUGGUCAGUUGUCAGGAUUGGAGGGUAUACUAGGCAGCAACGACGUCACGAUCUUACUUACUUCACGCACAGCUAUUCACUUGAAUACGGCCAAAGCCAUAUUAUUCCACUUGGAAACUUUAUCUGACAAAUUUAGCUUCGAUUUAGUGAAGCAAGUUGCAUCCUCGUAUUUUGGUGAAUCCGACAUUCCGGAAAUUGCAAUGAAAGAAAUCGUGGAAAAGUGCAGAGGUGUACCUUUGGCUCUUAAAACAGUUGCCUCCCAGUUGAAGCCAGAAAGAGGUGUUAAGGAAUUAUUAAGUAUCAUAAAAAAUAUCUUUCAGCCCAAAUCAUAUGGAAUCAUGGGUAUCGAGCAAACUGUUACUGAAUCCCUUAAGCUGACUUAUCACCUAAUGACACCGUGUCUCAAGUUAUGCUUUGCUUAUUGUGCAAUAUUCCCUAAAGGCAGUGAAAUUGAUCGGGAAGACUUAUAUCACCAAUGGAUUGCUCUUGGGCUAAUUGAGGGAUCAUGUGAGCAGUCACCAAUAACUAAAAAGAUGUGCGCAGAGUACAAUGUUCAUCAAUUAUUGGACAUGUCAUUUCUGCAGGAUUCAGGGCCAUUUUCUGUUACCAAGAGGAGCACUGGAGCUCCUGCCAAACUUAAGAUGCAUGACUUGGUACACGACCUUGCUGUGUCAGUUGCAGAUGAUGAUUUGGUUGUUAUCAAUGGGGAGAAUACAGAAGCUAAAUUGUAUAGAUAUCGUUAUGCCAUGCUUGUUGCUUAUGAGAAGACAAACUUGCAUAAGGAUCUUCCAGCUGGGCUAAGGGCUCUGCAUAUUAAAGAUUGUCCUAGACUGAAGUUUAAGUGGUAUAAUUCUUCAUUGGUCAAAUGCUUGCGGAUCUUGGAUAUUAGUGGGUGUCGUAUUGAAAAAAUCCCAUCUUCGCUUGGAAAGUUGAUGCAGCUCAGGUACCUUAAUGCUUCAGGAACACAAAGCAAAGAGCUUCCCAAAGCCAUUGGCAGCCUUUCAAAACUACAAUAUUUGAACCUACAUGGCAGUUGCAUUUCUGGACUACCAGAGUCACCCACCAAACUGGGCCAAUUGAUGCAUCUAGACCUAUCAGACUGCGUGGAUUUGAAGACAUUACCCAAAUCGUUUUGCGAACUCGAAUGCCUCAGUCUGCUGACCCUAGAGAAUUGCUCCCAACUGUCUUCAUUACCUGACGAUCUUGGCAGACUCAAGAAUUUAGACAACCUAAAUUUGUCUGGCUGCUCCUGUCUUGACAUGUUGCCAGAAUCCCUUGGUGAGCUGGAAUCAUUAAGACAACUGGACCUAUCAGGCUGUAAGAAACUCACCAUGCUCCCGUAUUCUUUUGCUAGGCUUACUUGUCUCCAAUACCUGAACAUCUCAAGCUGUUCUGAGUUAGACAUACCUGUUGAUACUCUUAACAAUCUUGUCAAAUUGGAGUAUGUAAAUAUGUCGUCUUGUCCGAAACUUUUAGGUCUUCCUCAAGAAUUUUGCAGCCUUCAACAUCUCCAUACACUUAAUCUAUCGGAUUGUAGUAAGUUGACAAAUUUGCCAGAAAGACUGGGCCAAAUGAAAAGCAUCAGGUUCAUUUUGCUCGAUGGUUGUGCAGAAUCGGUGAGGAAACCCAUUCUACAACAUGGACUGGGUGCUGGUCUGCAGUCUUUGCCAGCAUUUGUCAUUGAAACAGAGGUUGACAGCAUCCGGAGCAAUAUUUCUCAACUUGAGCACGAGAAGUUCUCUGAGCUGGAACUAUAUCGCCUUGAAAAGGUGCGGACAGUUGAUGAGGCUGAAGCAAUAAAGUUGCCUGCCAGAUCAGGACUACGUAGUUUGGGACUGAUGUGGACCAUGAAUAUUGAAAGAUUCAUUGAGGACGAGACACUGCUUCAGACGCUUGAGCCACCUGAAGAUCUUCAGAAGUUUAGGGUGCAAGGUUACAUGGGCGAAAGGUUCCCUACAUGGAAUGUGGAAAUUGGUUCCUGCCGUCGGGGUCAGCUUGACGAAAUUGCGUUCAUGCAUUUUCCGAUGUGCAACAGUUUGCCGCACCUCGGGCAGCUUGCAAAUCUCAAGAACCUGCACCUAAGCAGAAUGCCCAAAAUCAGGAGAUUGGACAGAGAAUUGUGUGAUCACACUGGAGCACUCCGGACAUUAGAAAAAAUCACUUUGGAAUACAUGGAGAACCUAGAAGAAUGGUACACUACCAAGCCAUCAGGUAGUGGCCAACAGAAGCAGGAGGGAUUCAUGUUCCCUGCUCUUCAGGAACUGAACAUAUACCAUUGCCCUCGGUUAACAAUGCAUCCAUGUCCCCCAAGAAGCAUAAAAUGGGAAGUACGAGCGAGUAAUAGACCAGCGCAGCUUCUUCUGAAGAAGGAUGAGGUUAUGCGAUGGCUGGCGGACUACAUGGGCAUGCAGUGUCCCUUUGGUUACACCACUGAGUUGCAUGUUAGUGGCUCCAGCAGCAGUUCUCCCAGUACUACCGAUGGAUGGAAAUUCCAUGGUUCUCUCAUCACUCUAAAGGAUUUGCCAUGUGAUAGUUGCAGUUUGAUCGACACAUUGCUAGGCAAAGGUAGCAGCAUGCAAUUUUUAGUUUAUCUAGAGAUUUCAGGUGUUGAAGACACGAAGAGCUUGCAGGAACAAGUCGACACAGUUGCAUAUUCCACCCGAUCUAGCCUUGCCAAAUCAUGGCCGGAUUGGUUUUCUCAGCAACCUAGUAUAAAUAACGGAGCAUCACCGCAUUUUAUGGUAACAGGUUAUGCCAGUUGUGUACUCCAUGGUUGGAUCGAUGAAGUGACCUCCAUUCUUGGGAACCUUAUACGGAUCAACAUGGACGAGCUGCCGAUGUGCGACCGCCUACCGCCACUAGGUCAGUUGCCAAAGCUGCAGGAGCUGCGGCUGAAAGGGAUGCCUAAAAUCAAAAGAAUCGACAGGGACAUCUGUGGGAGUGACUGUUUAUCAUUUGAAUUGUUCUUCCCAAGGUUAACAAGGUUUGUCCUGAAUGGUAUGCCAAACCUAGAAGAGUGGGCCACUAAGGUGCCCAGUACUAGUGAUCAAUGCGGCCAAGAGGAAUUCAUGUUCCCUCGGCUAGUCAAGCUGACAAUUUGGAACUGCCCCAAGUUGAAGCUGAAGCCAUGCCUCCCAAGAGCAACGGAGUGGGACAUAAAUAACAGCGAUCAGGUAAUAGCAUCAUCCUAUGACAUAAAAAGCGGAGGUGAGCUAGCGACUACGCUGCAAGUAUUGCUAUGCAAGGUGCCUCCCAACCGGUGGAAAUUGCUUCACCAUCUCCCCGGGAUCCAAAGCUUGGCGAUUGUUAGCUGCCAUGGGAUGGAAGCCUUACCAGAGAGUGUUCGAAGCCUCUCCUCCCUCCAAUCGUUGACCAUAAGUAAAUGCCAUGUCCUGAAACACCUACCUGAAUGGUUGGGCGACCUCACCUCUCUUCAGAAGUUGAUGGUUGUGAGCUGCCCGGUGGAGUUCUUACCAGGGGGCAUGCGGCGCCUCUCUUUCCUUCGCUCGCUCAGUUUGAACUGCUGUGAUAGAAUGACAGCAUUGCCAGGGUGGUUGGGUGACCUCAACUCACUCAAGAAGGUGACAAUUGAAGGAUGCAAUAGCCUUAAAUCUUUGCCUCAGAUUUUUAUGCUGGAAGAUCUACUCAUUCGGUAUAAUGAUGAACUAGAGCAGUGGACCGAAUCAGAAGUGAACAAAGCUAAGUUUGCUCAAAUCAAACGAAAGGGUUUCUGGCUGGAGAGUCAUAGUGGGAGCAACAGCUACAUCCAGCCAGCAAGAUCGUUGCAUGUCCUUUGGGGACAUGAUGACAGAUACUGGAGGUUGCGUUCAAUUCCUGAAUCUAGGUUUGCGGUAUCCAUGGAGCUCUUAGAAGUCUGGUGGCUGGAGAUCGAGGGCAGUGUCCCAGCACAGGCCCUCCCAAUUAACACCAGCUACGAUGUAUACCUUGUCUACAAGCUAGCAGAUGAGCACGAUGGCCUCAGAUGGGGGCAGUCAUACGUCCAUGUCAAUGGGGUACACGCCAAUGGUGUCCAUGUUUCAUUUGUCGAUGAAGAUGCCGUGCAUUUGGAUGGCGUGGCUUACCCGGUUACCCGCUCUGAAGGUUGGAUGGAGCUCAGGCUCGGUGAGUUCGACAACAAUUGUGGUGAUAGCGAGAUCAAAGUGGGCGUCACAGAGAAGACGAAUACCUACGCCAAGAAAGGGCUCAUCGUUGAGGGCAUGGAGAUCAGAGUGAAGAGCCUAGCUACUAGCUAGAGAUGGCUCACCCUCCGACCCCCGAGCUUUUGGACCCUGCCGUGGACAAGAAGCAUCGCAGCUUCUUAUCCGCCGAGCACCAGACGGAGCUAGGAGUGUUUCGCCCACGAGGCCCUGGAGAGUUGCUGACGAUAGACGAGCGAUGGAAUCACAGGUUGGCAGCGGCUGGACUCCUACCGCUUUGCCGGUUGGUCGAGGCCCGAUCGACGGAGAACCCCGAGGUUGCGGCCCGUCGUUUCUACUUCGAUUGGUCGCUGAUAGCAGCACUGGUCGACUGUUGGAGGCUGGAGACACAUACGUUCCACCUCCCGUGCGGAGAGAUGACCCCGAUCCUGCAGGACGUCUCCUACCUCUUAGGCCUUCCUUGCUCGGGAGCUGCGGUUGGGGUCAUCGAUAUGCAGGCUGACUGGAUGAAGGACAUGCAUUAGCGAUUUGGCCCGGUGGAGCAAAAGGCGGACACACCCCCCUACGUGCCUGAGUUCUUAUCCGAUGCAUGAGGGCCAACGAAGAAGUGGAUCCUACAGUUCCAGGUACUGUAACAUACAACCUAUGGAAUACUAACAAAGUAUGUCGUAAUGAUCCUUUCUGACACCAGUCAUAUGUGCAACCGGCGUACAUACACCGACACGCCAACACAUACGCGGUCUCGAGACAUUUGGAGGCCUUCCUGCUUUGGUUGUUUGGGUGGGUGAUGUUCACUAGUGGCCAAGGCCACCUGGUUACCAGGACACUUGUGCCGUACGCCCGGUCGAUAGUGGACGCUGAUGCGGAGGACGUACCACAAUUCAACUGGGCAUCCGCUAUUCUUGCUGCGAUGUAUUGGGUGCUCUGCGACGCAUGCACGAAGAAGGAGGCACUAGCCACUUUCGCCGGGUGUCCACUUCUUCUUCAGCUAUGGUCGUACGAGCAUUUUGCCAUAGGCAGGCCAGUGAUGGACCGCUCCCCGUACCCAGAGGAAUGGUACGGCGAGACGGACGAGGACGCGCCUACAAUGGCCUCGAUGUGGUGUCGUCAUUGGCCACACUGGGCGCACGAGCAGCCUCGCAGCGCGUACGAGCAUUUUCGUACCCAGUUUGACAGGCUAUGUCCUGACGAUGUGGUAUGGGAGCCAUACAGCAUUCCGUCCGUGCAGGCGCGUGCAGGGUUGGGUUUGUCACCCUUGUGCACCCGUGACGAGGAGUACUGGCUCACGAAGGUGCCCCUUGUCUUUGACAUCUACGUCGAAGAGUACUCACCGCACCAUGUCAUACGGCAGUUUGGCUGUCACCAGGCAUUCCCGCUCGUCCACAUCCGUAGCGUCCCCGUGCAAGUCCACAAGUACACACGGAAAUGCCAGCCAGCUGGCAACCUCUUGGCGGAGCGCUUGGCCCCUUACGUGGCAACAUGGGCCCAAGCGCUACAAGACGUCGUGGAGGAGGCUCGUCCACACAGCGAGCGGAACUUCAGGGAGUACCUACGGUGGUAUGUACCACGUAUGCGGACCCGUGUCACCUACACCCCUGAGGAUGUCCAGCGCCACAUCGCAUCGACAACGGAGACAUACCCGGUGCAUUGGGACGAGGACACCGCUUUAGCAACAGAUAUCCUUUAUGACGUAAAUAGGGAUGCAGCUGCUGCCAUGGAGCGCGUCCAGCAAGGGCACCACCUAAGUGCGUCGGAUGUUGCGAGCUUCAUUAAACGGGUUUUCGACAAGACGAUACGCGCCUUGAAGCUCACCUCCUGCCGAUCUACCACAGAUGUAGCAGGGCCGCCUCCCAGAUCGAGUAGUGUACACGCCGAGUCAUCUUGACCGUCAGACGUGCACCGACGUUCUUCAGUGUCGGCACCCACACGACCCCUUCUACCACGUCAUGGAGGGUCGGAGCAACAUGGUCCGCCUGCACAAGUCUCGAUGUAGCCUCGUAGAUCGAGCCCUGUGCGUCCACCCUCAGGUUACUUCGGUGACGAGGCCGGUCCGUCUUCGACGGCCCCACGCCCUACCCCGCCCGCAACGUACUACGGCACGUCAACGUGGCCUUCUUCUGCUGCACCGUCGUACCACGCAGGCCCCUCCAGCUAGUACACAUGGACGCCUGCCGAGCCUUCACAGUCCUCCUACCCUAGUCAGGAGGAUGAGGCUGGCCCCGACACCGCAUACGACAUCGUCCAUGACUUCUUCGGGGGCACACCUGACUACGACGUCCUUCAGCGGUCCCAGGUUUCCAGUGCUCCCCUUCGGACACAGCCCACACAGGACGAGCCCUCGACACCGGUGGUCCCUACUAGGCCUACCAGACACGUCGGUCCACCCGACCCCCUCACCUACUCCAGGGGUCACGUGAGGGUUAACCAGCGGCAUCGGGACCACGAUGGGGCGCACGGUCGACGGCAACGAGGGAGGCAUGAGUAGCAUUUUAUAUUUUAUGUAACUAACAUAUGCAUAUUCGCUUCGUGAUGUACUCCUAUGUAUUAAGACACGUUUACUUUGUAUGGUCGACUUAGUAUUUCGUAAA